UACGUAAGUGGCGAGCGUUAUCCGGAAUUACUGGGCGUAAAGCGUUCGUAGGCGGCGCGGUAAGUUGGGUUUGAAAGCCCGGGGCUCAACUCCGGAUCCGGAUCCAAAACUACCCGUGCUGGAGCAUAUCAGGGGGCAGCGGAAUUCCCGGUGUAGCGGUAAUAUGCGUAGAUAUCGGGAGGAACACCAGUGGCGAAGGCGGCUGCCUGGGGUAUUGCUGACGCUGAGGAACGAAGGCCAGGGGAGCGAACGGG
rnacentral:rRNA from 1 species